CUUCGGAGCUGACGGUCGACUCUCCGCUCGGCACGAAGGAGGAUGAUGAUGAUGAGGAGGAGGAUGCCGGGGCGGGCAGCAGCGAGGAGGAAUCGGCGGGGACGGAUGCUGAGCGCCGCCGCAGCUGGAGCAGCAGCAGCAGCAGGAUGAGGAGUGAUGGAAGGAGCUGGAGGAAAAUGUUGUCAGUGCUGCACCAGAAGGUUGUAUUAGCCAGCGUUGAAGAAAAUCUGCCAGUAAACAGGAUGAGGAGCGACUGUCAGCCUGCAGAUGGAAACAAGGGUGGGUGGCUGGAAGGCUGGAUAAAGGCUGGUGGAUGACUGAACCCGGUGACCCGGUGCAGCUCAUCAUCAUUGCCGGGGGCCUCUCAUCUUCUUCCUCGUCUCCCAUGGCUCGUACCUCCAUCCAGGGGUCUAGCAGAGCCCAGCGAAGCCCAGCCGGGGAGCUAGUGAGUGGGCUGGGAAGGAUGGAGAAAGUCCCUGAAGGCAAAAAUCACCUCUGGAGCUAUCAGCGUGCUAGAGAAAUCGAUAUGAAACACAGAAUCUUCACAGCUUUGAGUGGGGUUUCCUGUGUUUUUAAGUGUGUGGCCUGGAGGCCCUGCAGACCUGCAAAGGACUUCCCCUACGUGCCUCUUUCAGCUUCAGCUCCAGCUCCUUCUCUGGACCUCAGCCCUGAUCUCCACUGCCUGUGUGUGGUUCUGCUGAAGGGUGUUUCUCCCCAAAUGGUACCCAGAGUUUUAAAAGAUCGCUCUGAGGCAUAUUCCUUUCUCUCUUUUUUUUUUUUUUUUUUUUCUCCCCCAUCACGAGAUUGACACAUCCCACCACCUUCUGCCUCUGGCAACCAGCUUGGAAGUUCUGCCUUUGACUCACUCUCCAUCUUCAGCUCAUCCACGGCUUAUUCCCCAACUAGUUUUCACAUUUGACAAACAGACACUGCGAUCUUUAUUUUCCACCUCCACUCUUGGCUCGCACUUCCAAUGAUGAGCUCCAGACAGAUGUCUUUCAAAAGCAGACACACCGGAAGAUGAUAGUUGAACUUUUUUUUUUUCCUUUUUUUUUUCCUAUCAUGCCUAUUAUUCAAUUUGAGACCAUUCACAAUAUUAACUGGCUGGAAAGAGAAGAAGACUGAAGAUCAGAAACCUUUCAGUGGAGACAGUAAAAU